AGGACGAACGCUGGCGGCGUGCCUAAUACAUGCAAGUCGAACGGUCUUUCUAUGGAAGCUUGCUUCCACUGAAAAGAUAGUGGCGAACGGGUGAGUAACACGUGGGGUAACCUGCCCAUAAGAGGGGGGAUAACAUCCGGAAACGGGUGCUAAUACCGCAUAGUUUCUUGAUCGCAUGAUCGGGAAAGGAAAGACGGCCUUUGUGCUGUCGCUUAUGGAUGGACCCGCGGCGUAUUAGUUAGUUGGUGAGGUAACGGCUCACCAAGACGAUGAUACGUAGCCGACCUGAGAGGGUGAUCGGCCACAUUGGGACUGAGACACGGCCCAAACUCCUACGGGAGGCAGCAGUAGGGAAUCUUCCGCAAUGGACGAAAGUCUGACGGAGCAACGCCGCGUGAGUGAAGAAAGGGUUUUCGGAUCGUAAAACUCUGUUGUCAGAGAAGAACAAGUUGGAGAGUAACUGCUCCAGCCUUGACGGUAUCUGACCAGAAAGCCACGGCUAACUACGUGCCAGCCGCUGC
rnacentral:rRNA from 1 species